rnacentral:rRNA from 1 species
AACGAACGCUGGCGGCAUGCCUAACACAUGCAAGUCGAACGAGACCUUCGGGUCUAGUGGCGCACGGGUGCGUAACGCGUGGGAACCUGCCCUUAGGUUCGGAAUAACUCCCCGAAAGGGGUGCUAAUACCGGAUAAUGUCUUCGGACCAAAGAUUUAUCGCCUUUGGAUGGGCCCGCGUUGGAUUAGCUAGUUGGUAGGGUAAAAGCCUACCAAGGCGACGAUCCAUAGCUGGUCGGAGAGGAUGAUCAGCCACACUGGGACUGAGACACGGCCCAGACUCCUACGGGAGGCAGCAGUGGGGAAUAUUGGACGAUGGGCGAAAGCCUGAUCCAGCAAUGCCGGGGGAGUGAUGAAGGCCUUAGGGUUGUAAAGCUCUUUUACCCGGGAUGAUAAUGACAGUACCGGGAGAAUAAGCUCCGGCUAACUCCGUG